GCAGUCUGUUCCCUUAUACUGUUGGGAAAUGAUGUCAUUUCUCUUUUUAGUAACUAUACCCCCAGAGAUAUGAGAGAGGAACUUCUUUUUUUUUCCACACUGCAAUGUGACUAUACUUUGUUUGGUUCUAGAGACUAUGUGAAUGAAUGAUUAUGGCUUUCUGACAGGAUUUUUCUUUCGGUCUUUCCAGCAAACAGAACAAUUGUAAUAAUAGAUCCAAAGAAGACGGAAGAUAGAAAGGGGAAUUUAAAUUAGUGUUACAAGAACAGAAGAGAUGGGAAACAAAGUAGUUAAGAAAAGCAAAAGACCUUGGUCUCAUUUUAGAAGAAGAUAUGCAGUGAGAAAAGAUGAGAACACUGUUUACAAAAUACCAGACAGCCAUUCUGAAUUACACUAUACUACUAUUGACUUUGCAGAAACUGCCAGUAGUAACAUAAAGGCAUCAAGCACAAUGACUGACUAUGAUGAUAUCACCAUUCUUUCCAAAACAGUGACUGUUGCCAGCCAAGAAGACAGUGAUGAUUAUGAUUAUGUACUAAUGAAUUAGGAGUUGCUUUAUGCUGUCUGCUUAGAGUUGUUCUCUUUGGAAAAGCCAUUCUGAUUGCAUUUUUUUUUCAAAUCAUAUUUUAUGAUGUAAUAAAGUUUGCACUGUUAUCAUUCCCCAAAUAUCCUUGCAUGCUGUAUAUACAGUAUCCUCCUGUAAGUUCUUUUAAGUAUGAUGGUGAGAUACGUAUGUGUGUACUGUCAAUAAUUUUCUCCCUCAAACUACUAGAGCAGUUUCUAGGAUCCUCAAUAUUUCAUGGUGUUCUAUGGUGAUAUUUAUACUGCCCCAAAGUGCUGAUCAAACCAGGCUCUUCACCUGUACCUUCCAAGACUCCAGCUGGAUCAGUCCAAACAGUAGCUUUCACAGGGAGAACACAUCCCCACCACUGCACUGUGAGUUAUUAAUAUGAAAUGCUCAAUAUUAAUAUUUGCCAGGUUUUCAAUUAUAUGGAAAUCUGGGAGAGAUGACACUUUAUCCACCAGGUCUCUGAUCCCAUGGUGAACUCUGAUUCCAUAGUAAACUUUACAUGAUUGGUGAUCACAUGGAUAAAGAGCUGCUCUCCCCACUUCUCCUGCCACCUGUAUCAGUCCUGACCUACCAGAACCUGUCAACCAACUAGAAAAACAGUUGGUAGGUCCUGGGGUUAGCUACCUCAUGAAGUAGGAUUUCUUUAGAAGAAUGUAGAACACAUUGUUAGUUAAAAAUAGUUAAAAACCAGCUGACAAACAUGAUGGGGAGAUGACUGUUGAGAGGUGAAGUGGGAAGGAAGAGCACUAAACCCAUAUUUAAAAAUAGCCUGAAUCAUAUGGUAGAUACUCUGUGUUUGUGUGUGUGGUUUGGUGAAGUGGUAUCUCUGUUACUCUUCCAGCAGCUGUCAGCUUUUUUUUGAGGGCCGGAGGGUUGUUGGUUGACAGAAUCACUCACUUACCCUGCCACUCCUUCAGCCCGGGUAGAAUCUGGGAGAGAUCACUCUUUACCUGCAGAAUCAGAGCACUGCUGGGUAAAUAGCCAUCUAUACAUAUGCUUUACUGGGCAGUGUCAGUCUGUUAUAGCAGCUCACAAUCAAGAAAGCAAGAGAUUCAAAGUAGCAUGUUUACUGCAAUGAGCAAAGAGUUAGGUUACAGAAUCUUGAAGAUGAGGUAUGUGUAUUUUGACUCUCAUUUAUCAAUAAGUACAUUAAGAUGGGGGUUCAUAGAAACUUAUUUAAUGGGGAAGAUGCUAACUACUUGAUUCCACAAAAAUGUCCCUCUGUUCUUGUCCUGUAAUGUUUUGGAAACAUCCAUUUUCAUUAUUCCUAGGUUCAGGGAACUCCAUCACAGGCAACCUCCACCAUCCCUUGGAUCAUGGUUGGAGGGAAAACUGUCCGGUGAAGCAGGGCAGCUUCUCUUACUUUAGCAGGGAGCCUCCACCAUCUUAUAGAUGAAUAACAACCCCGGUGCUUGAUCUUCUGGGUAAGGAAGGGCUACCCAUGAAAUUGCCCAGAGUUUGGAGGUGCAAGGAUGAUGGGAUUGCACAGUGGAGACCCAAUCCUACUUUGGAGGAG